rnacentral:rRNA from 1 species
GCGAACGCUGGCGGCAGGCUUAACCCAUGCCAGUCGAGCGGGCAUCCUUGUGGUGUCAGCGGCAGACGGGUGAGUAACGCGUGGGAACGUGCCCUUCGGUUCGGAAUAACUCAGGGAAACUUGAGCUAAUACCGGAUACGUGCGAGAGCAGAAAGGUUUGUCUGCCGAAGGAUCGGCCCGCGUCUGAUUAGCUAGUUGGUGAGGUUACGGCUUACCAAGGCGACGAUCAGGAGCUGGUCUGAGAGGAUGCUCAGCCACACUGGGACUGAGACACGGCCCAGACUCCUACGGGAGGCAGCAGUGGGGAAUAUUGGACAAGGGGGGCAACCCUGAUCCAGCCAUGCCGCGUGAGUGAUGACGGCCUUAGGGUUGUAAAGCUCUUUUCUCCGGGACGAUAAUGACGGUACCGGAGGAAUAAGCCCCGGCUAACUUCGUG